AUUUCUUGGGCCGCUCCCACAGCACAUGGAGGUUCCCCGGCUAGGGGUCCAGUCGGAGCUGUAGCCAACGGCCUACACCAGAGCCACAGCGACGUGGGAUCCGAGCCGCGUCUGCAACCUACACCACAGCUCUCGGCAACGCCGGAUAGUUAACCCACUGAGCAAGGCCAGGGAAUCAAAUCCGCAACCUCAUGGUCCCUAGUCGGAUUUGUUAACCACUGCGCCAUGAUGGGAACUCCUAUUUUUUCUAUUUUUAAUGCCUCAACCUAUAUAGUAAUUAUUUGAGAAUAUUUAUAUGGAUUUUUUUCUGAGAAAAUAUGCAAGUAAAAUGUAACUAAUUAUUUUUUAAGUAUCAGCUGAUACCACCAAGUACCUUGAUAUUUGUUCAUUGCAGAAGCUUGAGAUGCAUGGAAUUAGGUAUUUAGCCAACUUAAAAAACAAUUUAAAGACUUUUCUUAUACGGUUUUCAGCUAGGUUUUGCAUAAAACUAGUGUGAUUCUUUUCCUAAACCAGUACCAAAUGAUGUAAGAAGUGUGAGGUUUAGAAUUAACGCAGUAUUUCCUGUACAUGGUCAGUGAUCCAGCAAGUGGAGAGUAGGGAGGGAAGGAGAGAGCCUAAUGAAAAGCAAAUGCUGCCAAUUUUUAUUUUGUGUGUGGAAACAUUUCUUUUCUGGACUGGUGCCAUGUCUUUUUUCCUCUUUUCUUUCUUCCCCUGGCAUGGCUUCCUUCAUCUGCAGCCAGCCCUGGUAAAGUCAUUAUGUUUGAUUGGAAUAAAGAGCCAUGGCAGGUGUUAACAUAUGAUAAAUGCCUCCAUAGCCUCCAGGAUUGAUGUAUCUAGAACCAGAAUUAUUUCCCAGAGUCCCUGAUGGCACCCACAUAUUCUUCCUUAGGACACUCACUCAUUUCCUUAUGUCCCCAAGCUACAUGCUUUUCCUGACAGCAUGUGCGCGCACACACACACACACACACACACACACACACACACACACACAUACACAUCCCUCAAGCCUUCAAAUAUCAUUGUUCAGAAAUAUCAGUAGCAUGCUGCCAGAUUUUCCUCCACUUGCUUCCCUGGUACAAGGUCCCUUCCACAGGAAGAGCCACAGCCCUCUCCUCCAUUCAACACUGUUCUAAACAAAGUGGAUCCAGCAAAAAUGUUUUAAAGUCCUUGACAUUUGGAUUUAUCCUUUUUUAAAGUUUUUUUUUUUUUAAUUUCUAUUUUUUUACAGUCCAUUAGUAUUUUUAUUUUGAAAUCUGGAGGUGAGCAAGUUAAAUGCCUGCUCCAUAGUUGUAUUAUUAACAGCAAGACAAUAUCAGGGGCAUAUAACCAUGUUGGUAAUGUAUAACUACUUAGUAUUCACUUGUGCUACAGGUAUGCGGGUCAGAAAACAAUAUAGAAUGUGUCCCAAGCACAAAUAUGUCACUAUGACUGCAGCUGAUCUUUCAAAAGCAUCCAAAGGGCCAGUACAUUUGAGUAGUAAGUAUUGCGUUUGCUGUCAGCAAUAGAUUCAGCCUAGGGAAGAACAGAGUCAUCUGUGGAAUGUCUUGCCUGCCAACAUGGAAGGCACAGACUUCUUCUGUCAGUGGCCAUGCAUUUUUCACAUCUUUGCCAUAAGAUGAUAUAAACCUUCAUUUUAAAAGCCAGUUGAUGGAGUAUUAUCUGAUUUUAUUGGGACUGUAAUGAUGAAAAAAAGCCAUUUCUUUUGGUGCCAUCCCUGGGGUUACGCCACAUACCUCCUCCAAUAUAAUCGCAUAUGGCAAUAACAAGCCAGGGGCUGUGUGGGAUAAUUGGCUCCUCCUCAAUGCAUUUAUGGGGAGUCAAUCUGAGAGUUACAGAGAUCGAACGAAAGCCACAGAGACUCUAAGACUGAAGCCCAUAUUGAUCUAGGAAGAACAGGAUGGAUCUGUCAGGUCCAGGCAGAAUACAUUGUGCUCCUGGCAAGAGAGUUCUUUCUACAGAAAAGGGAAAUAAUUAUCCCUUCCAAUGAAACGCUUGCGACAAAAGUACAUAUACUUACAGAGAAGUCUAAUAGAACCUUGAACAUGGAAAGAAAACUGCCUUUUCUUCUUUUUAUUAUUAUUAUUAUUAUUGGUAUUGUAUUUUCUACUUGGGAAAACAUUACACUGAGGUUCUUUAUGUCUCUCUGAGUUUCCUUCAGUCUAUCUGGGCAUUUUUUACUUUUCCAUCACUGUAUUCACAUUUUAAACUCUGAUUUAAAAGCCUUUGGUUGAAACAGAAAGAGGCAGAUCCAUUUGGUAUAUAUGAAGUAAGGAGUAAUUGCAUUGGAAAACCCUGAAACACACAAACCAGAACCAGCUGUAACCAAGCAUGUAUGGAAAGCAGUGCACAGAAUUUUCCAUGGCCUGAAGCAAUGAUGUUAUACAAACAAUCCCCGAGGUGUCUCAGCAGCUCCAAACACAGUGGAAAGAAAUUAGAUAAUGCUCAAGACUUACCAGAUGGGUAUUCACUCAGUACUUUUGUGUAAAAUUCUCUCCCUAAAUUAAAUACUGAAGAAAUAGCUACACUGAACUUAUAAAAUUAACAUCUUUGUUUUCUAGUGCCCUUCUCUGACAUGAAAUGCCGGGAAUCUAAGGACAGAGUACAUUGUGUAUAAGUUAGCAGGACCCAUGAAAAUAAGCAGUAAGGAUAAACCUCCAAAUAAUUGGCCAAAAACAAGUAAAAAGUAGAUUAUAAGAAAACGUAGAAAAGAAUAAUUUUCAAUGCCUCUGAUUCAAAAUUUGAGAUAACCAAAUGCAUUUUUAAUAAGAAAGACUUCUUGUUUAAAUCAUUGUCUCUCAUGGAGUGUUGCAACUUUCUAGGAUACUGUCAUGAUGUGGCUCUGAAACAUCUAAACUCUAUGUUCCUUGUUGCACUCAAUCCCAACCUUUCCAUUUCAUUGUCAGGUCCCUUUGUAAUUAAACGUCACCUUACCUGGAAAAACACACGUCCCCCUACUAAUAUAGAACUUACUCCUGCCAUUCUACUCUACACUUAUGCAAUGUGCACUGCUACUGGUACUCCUAGACGCCGUUUCCCCAGGAAUGUCCUCUUGUUUCCUGCAAUAGUUCAAAUUCUGCCCAGGUUUGAAGGCUAAGUCUAUGCCCAAUCUCUUUCAUGGCUUUUUCAAACCUCACUGUUUUCCUGUCUGAAGUCUUCCCCUGUUGGACGGAUACUGAGUUUCAUUAAGUAGUCGGUGACUAUUGGCAAGCAAGUCAGAAGGACUAUUGUUUAUGGACAUUCAUACUGGGAAAGAAAGUAGUUGUUAGAUAGAUUCAAACAAGCUGAAUCAGAAAUGCUCAGUCAUAAACACUACACUGAAGGACUUGAUUUCUUGGGGAAUUAUAGUAAAGGAAAAGGAGGGCCAUACAUCCCCAUUUACUAUGUGUGGUCCAGUUUAUAGCUGUGGUCCCGGUGUGUCAUGACUAGUACCCUUUUAAUCUCAAAGUUGUUUCUCUUUGAAUGAUAAGUAACAUGACUAUUAAUCCCUGUUGAACACUUAUGACAUAAUUGGUCAAUAUCCUGAAUUCUCUAUGAAUGAACUUUGAGCUACACAACAACCUUCUAAGAUAGCAAAAUUAUUGUUGGUUUCCAAAUGAAGAAACAGAAGCCAAAGGAUUAUCUUUCAAAUGACUGUACAGCUAUGGAGAUUAAGGCAGCUAUAUAGGGCACCAAUUGGAGAGUUAGGAUAGGUUUUGCUGAAUUCUAACAGAAUUUUUUGAGAAUAGAAAUAAAAUUAAUGUUAAAUAUUUAUGAAGGGAGUUAGAGAGUGCCUAGAGAAUUUUCCCCAGAGUUAAGCAGCUCUAAAUAUUUAAAUAAAUGACACCCAAUAUUUUCUAAACAAAGACAUCUAUGAUACUCUCACAGGAGGACCACAGACACUUGGGAGGAGGGGGUUGAAAGCCGGAGCGAGAGAAGAUCCAGCUAUUCAUAAAAUGGCCUCUGGAGCCUGUCAACAUCAACUUGCUCUGCUCUUUAAUAUAUUAGAGACUGUCUUCCAGCUCCCCAGCAUCCUCCAGGUACUUGGAUUUAUGGAACUGUUCAGAACAGGGUGGAAAUGGAAGGUUAAAAAUAGAAUUACUUUGGGAUAAUUUGUCUUAUGAAGAGAAAUGUUAAUGUCCCUACCCUUCUGGAUGUCUCUUAACCUAAAUGAAUCUAGUGGCUUUUUGCAAGGUGCUAGCAGUGGUGGUAUUCCUCUAUGAUGCAGUAACUGGCUCCCCUGCAUCUUCUUAUUAGAUAUGUGUUCAUAGGUGCUCAAUAAAUUCUUUAUGGGUGAUUUCUGCACCUGAGUAGAUUUACGUAUGCCCAUAUUUAUGAGUACUCUUGCCAUAUCAAAUGUACCUGAGAAAACUGUACAAAUUAAGUUCAAUUUUAAUGAGUAGCACAUUGAGACUAAAAUCAUUUGUAUAAACAAAAACAGUUCUAAAAUAUUUGAUCCCUUGAGGUCCAGAAUCAUGACUAUUCUAUCCAAGUUUGUUCUUAUCCUUCAGGUCUGUAAUUUUCCAGGUCAUAAGCCUUCCUCUAUUUACAUAAAACUCUUAAUCUUUGAUAAUGAGUAGGUUCAAAGUUGACUUUAUGUAUCAUCAUUGCAUUUCUCAGGAAUUCAUGUUUUCUCUCUACAACAGUCUGUAAUUUGUUGGCUGUCUGCUUUGCUUAGUGCCUUAGGAAUAAUUUCCAUGUCUCUUUUCUUGAUGCUGCAAAUCUUAUCUGUCCUACCUCAAUGCUCUAUGUCUAGCUCUUGUCCUUUGACCUGAUAAAUUUGUUCUUCUAGAGUUAAAAUGGGAGUAGAUUUCACAAUUUGGGGCAGUAAUUUCUGGAAAAGGAAAAAAAAUUGAAAAUGGAUUCCCUAAUGACAUGAACAUAAAUGCCAUUACAUUGUCAAUGUAAUAGCAUAAACAUUAAACAUGUUUGCAAGAAUUCAGGAAUACCUAUAACAAUGUCAUCUUAAUUAACAAUUACUUUCUCUUCUGUGAUUCAGAGUAGUUGUAAAUGGCCAUUUAUAUAUGUCAGUUCAAGCACUGAAUUUAAUGGCACUUGACAUUUACUGUUAAGUACCAUUAUGCUUAUUUUUUAAUACCUAAAGUAACAAUGAUGUGCUUGCUCCUUCAUCUCUAAGAAGACACUUCCUACUUCCUCAGAUCUUCAGUGUGAAAAUAUGCAUGCUACUUUGUACUAAACACUAUUGCCAAGCCAAUGGCCAGGACUUUAACUCUCCUUUAGAUAUCAUUUCUCAUUUAGGAAGUAUAUAUAUUUCCAGGAAAUUGGGCACACUCUUAGCCACAGAAGUUUGUCCUGUUUGGUCCAAGUCAUUGCAGGUAAUCUGAUAUCCCUGGCCAACACAGCCCAGAUUGAUUAUAUCAAUAUAGCCAUUAGGGUUUUUGUUUUAUGCUGAGGAAGGAGAUACCUUUGAGAUAAUUCAAGAUAUCCUAAUGGAUAUAUUAUCAUUACUUUAGUAAUUACUUACAAAUAGAAUAUUACAAUUUAGAUAUCCAUAUGUAACAUGGAUAUAUGAUAUGUGUGUGUGUGUGUGUGUGUGUGUGUGUGUAAUAUACCUCAUGGUAGCUACUACUGCUAUGACAGCUUUGCAGUCUUCA
rnacentral:lncRNA from 1 species